rnacentral:rRNA from 1 species
AGAAUCAAAGGUCGCAAGACCGCUGGAGGUGGGGCCCGCGCCCGAUUAGCUUGUUGGCGAGGUAAUGGCUCACCAAGGCUAUGAUCGGUAGCCGGUCUGAGAGGAUGGCCGGCCACACUGAACUGAGACACGGUCCAGACUCCUACGGGAGGCAGCAGUGGGGAAUCUUGCGCAAUGGGCGAAAGCCUGACGCAGCAACGCCGCGUGGGGGAUGAAGCUUCUCGGAGUGUAAACCCCUUUCGACCCGGAUGAAACCCCGCAAGGGAUUGACAGUACGGGUAUAAGAAGCCCCGGCUAACUACGUGCCAGCAGCCGCGGUAAAACGUAGGGGGCCAGCGUUGCUCGGAAUUACUGGGCGUAAAGGGUCUGUAGGCGGUGUGGCAAGUCGGUAGUGAAACCUCAGGGCUUAACCCUGAGGCUGCUGCCGAAACUGCUGUGCUAGAGUGCGAGAGAGGCGAGUGGAAUUGCAGGUGUAGCGGUGAAAUGCGUAGAUAUCUGCAGGAACAUCCGAGGCGAAAGCGGCUCGCUGGAUCGCAACUGACGCUGAGAGACGAAAGCUAGGGGAGCAAACAGGAUUAGAUACCCUGGUAGUCC